UAAUGUUUAAAAAUUCAACUUGUCCGUUUGGUCGAAUUUUAUUAUACCCAAAAAUGCAUAUAUAUAUUAUAUAUCUUUAAGAGUAGUGAUCAGGCGAUGGAAUUUGCACGAAGCAAAAACGCAGAUAAAUUGAAUUCUGUAAAACGGGGGUGAAACUAAGCACGCGAUUGGUUAUAGCGUCGCAGACAUCGAAUUUAACGUAUCUGAUUGGCGUUUGUCUACGUCAUCAGUGCUUCAUGUGGUAGCAAUCGCAAAUUCGCGAGAAGCCUGAGAGGCGUUUGGCACAUCAUAAGUUCAUAAAGUUUCGAUGUGGAAGGACGUGUUUUCGCGUCUCUUAAAUACAACUUAUCGAGCUAAUUUUUUCGCAAAAUUAGUUUUAAUUUGUCCUUCGUCUGAAAGAUUAGCCAACAACUGUGAGAGAUUGGAACUGAUAUCCUUUCCUUACUGAAAAGAUAAGUCGUCUCCUAUGGUUAAUUUUUCAUCUUGGAGGCUCUUUUAGUUAAUUAAGGUACAUUAGAAGAACUCUGGAUACCAUUAAAUUAUGAAAUUUUGGAGCAUUGGUUACAUUAGUCUUCAUUUGCCUCGGAAAGUAGCUGUGCCUAUGGUUGUAAAGCAAGCAUGAAAGUGCCUUUUUUUUCAUUGGGAACGAAGAGAGUGUGCUAAAAAAAGGAUUUAUGACAAUGAACUGAUUGUUGUCCCACAAGUGAGAAGGAAUUGCAGUUAAUUUUGGUGCUACUAAAACAACCGAUACUUUUUACGUCUUCACCUUGCAACAUUAUGCAGUUAAUUUUUGCCGUAACAAUGGGAGGAAAUUGGAAAUUAAUUAAUUUGGAAGCAACCGAAAAAACAAAUUAUAUGCAGUGGUAUCGCUUCUAGAUUUGGUUGGUUUUGCUCAUCACACUAGUAGACGUUAGAACGCCUCUCACUACAAUUAAUUAUGGUUAUGCAAUAAAUGAGUGAGAAUUAAUGUGCAGUUUGGUUAUACUGAAACAGCCCAAGUCUGCAAGGGUGUGGUCUUUCCUGGAUUAUAUUCUUGAUUUGCUGUUUCGUCUUCGCCUUGUAACAUCAUGCAGUUAAUUUUCAACCCAUG